UUCAGGGGCAUCAAAAUAACGUCCUUGAAGAUUGAAAUAAGACAUUUUAUAUUUAUUAAUUAUGGAGAUUAAGAGUUCAGUUCCGGUUAUGGUCUUGAAGAAGAGUAAUAAACUGCAGAUUGAUGUUCUAUCUGCAAUUUCAUCAUGGUACAACAACAUCAUGCUUUUCUGGUGCUCUCUAAAUCUCUUUAAAGCUUCUGCAAUUCAAUUCAAAAUUCGGUAAAUCAGUUUCGUUCUUUGUAGUUUUAUGUUCCAAAAAUUUGUUCUUCGAUCUUCGUUGAUCUCUAAAAUUCUGAAUUUCUUGCAUUGUCAUCUAAAAUUUUCGUCCUACAUAUCCAAAUCAAAAUACAAGCCUGAUUUCUUUCUAGAUUUUAGGGACUAACCUUUUAACUUUUUCACUUUUUAGGUACUCACUAUUUUUUUUUCACCUCUUAGGUGCUCAAUCCAUAUUCUGAUAAUUUUACCAUAGUUUAACCAUAGUAGUGGGCCUUAGUUUAUGACUUGAAAAACAUUGCCACGAUAUUUCUUUUUACGCCAAAACAGCCAAAACACAUAUGAGUAAUUUUAACUCCAAAGAAAUUGACUUGGCAUAAACCCCUCCCAUAAGUUCAACUUCUCAUAUUUCUCUCUGUUCUUCGAAACACUCUUAUGGGCAAAUUAUCAAACACUUGCGAUUGAGAAGGAAUUUAAAGGUCAAUUAUCUACCCAAUAAUUCAAGUAUGCAAGUGAUAAACAAAGAAGCAAUAGAUCAACUUUAUCAAGUCGUCAAGUUGCAAAUGUUGGAUGUUCAAGUUAAAUUAUUGCCACUAAUCAGGUAUCCCAGAGUUCAGCUUUUAUUUCAUCAUCUGUGGACCUCGUGACUGUGCCAUUCACAAAUCCCAGUUUUCGUUUUGAAGAGAAGUUGAUAUCUAUUGAUCUCCUCCAUGCCCUGUAGUCUACUGAGCUCUGCAAUUUUUCCACUUGAAUGGUGCUUGUACUAUUAGAAGGAUGCAAGAACAAAGGAUUCAGCAUAUCUUGGAAUGCUAUUCUUCCUGCUGCUGCUGCCAUUUUUCUUUGGUUUUAAAAGAUGGGAAAUUUUUUGUUGAGAAAAGAAGAUGAGAUAUAGAAGAGUAUAGAAUAAUAGAUCAGAAGAGGAAAUAGAGAAGAGAAAGACUUUUCAAAAUAUGAAGAAAGAUGUUUGGACAGAUUUCUCUAACUACAAUGGUGGCUCUGAUACCAUGAUAACUUUUAGUCUCAGUAUGAACUAUUUUCCAUUGCAGAGGAAAUUUUUAGAGCACAGAAUUUCAGAGAGAACGUUUUCUAUUUCAUUCAAAAGCUUAACCUGUAGCGUUGUCACCUUAUUACAAUAUAUAGGGCUAAUAGUACUAGAGGCCCACUGAACAGCGAAUUAAGGCACGCCACGUGUAUUGUGCAGGCUGCUUUUGUAACGCUUCUUUUUCUACUAUUUCCAACGGUUAUUUUGUAACGUUAAUAUUUUUAAUUUGUAACGUUAAUAGAAAAAAUUCAGCUUAUUAUUUAAAAAAAAAAAUUACACCAACGGCUAUAAAAAAUUUUUAUCUAUAAAUUGAGUCCAAAUUUCAUAUAUUUUACCAAAAUUCUUUCCAACUCAUUUUUUUCUAAUUACUCUCUCCCACCUAAUAUUACUUAUACUAAGCCAAUAUUAUGGAUUCAAAUAAUCCUAAUUACUCCCAAACUAAUCCAAACCACCCACAAAAUUCCCAAAAUAAUUUUCAAAUCGAUCCAAGCUAAGUGUGCUACAAAAUCCGGAAUUCCAAAGAAUGUUUAUGUUUUUUCAAAGCCAAUGGAAUAACCAAAAUUCUCAACAAGUUACACAAGAAUCUCCACAAAGUUCUAAUCAUCUAUCGCAACAACAAGUUGAACCAUCUUUUCCUAUAUCCCAACAUAUUUCACAACAACAUGAACAACCUAACGAAAAGGACGAUGUAAACGAAAUCUAUUCGCAAGAAAUUCAAAACACUCCUUCUUCAAAAAAAAGUCACAACACCAAAGUUUCCAUGGAGUGCAGAUGAAGAUCAUGCACUCAUUUCGGCAUAUCUAGAGUACGGAUGAGAUAUGUUGAAGGGAACCGACCAAAAUGGUGACGGUUUUUGGGGUUCAGUAUUUGAGAAGGUUGAAGAGUCACGACGACUCAAUCCAACUUUACGCUCAAGGACAUUCAGAGCUAUUACUAGUCGUUGGAAAAAAAUCAACGGAGAUGUGAAUGCAUGGGUCGGGAUAUAUACCGAGGCAAAAAGGAAGAAGGGUUCCGGCUGCAAUGACGAAGACGUCCUGACUGAAGCCCAUGAGAUGUGAAUAAAAGUCCAUGGGCCUCAAUUUACAUUGGAGCAUGCAUGGAAUGUUAUGAAACACUACGACAUAUGGACAGAUGGCACCCAAUUGAGCGGCGGGAGCUCAAAACGAUCUGGUCCAGAUGAAGGUGUGAGCUCAAAACGUCCUGACGGCGUCAAGAAAGUUAAGAAAAGCCCCAAUAUCCAGUUCUACAUCUCCAUCCUCUUUGGAAAUUACGACGAGGAGGAUCAGUGUGGGAGAGGACUUACUUGAGUGUCAAAAGGAGUGUGAUGCCUUGAGAUAAUCAACAAAAGAGGAAGAUAGAAAGUUCAAAAUUUGGAAUAUAUUAAUGGCUAAGUCUUCCCUUGAUCCGGAUGAGAGAGAGAUGUAUGAAAAACUUAAGCUACAAUUUAAGGACAAAUAUGUUUAGUUAGUGUUCAUGUUUUUA